ACACGCUCGGCCCCCUUCAGGGAGCCGACGGAGGCCUGCGUCUGUGGGCAGGCGAAUGGCUCAGGGGCUUUACGGAGACCUUUCAGGGCAGCAAAUGUGUGUGACUCAGGUGUUUAUAACCAGCCGGAGCGGUUUGACCAUCUUAACUUCACCUAAAUGAAUCACCUGAGACGUGUUGGCUAAGCUGAAGCAUGCAGGGCCUAGAAAGAAUUUCCAAGGAAAACUGUUCACGAAGAUUGUGCAGAGCAAUGGAGACAUCUGGUCUACCUCUAAGCCCCACAAGCAAAACUCCAUCCACCUCCAUUGUUCAGGAGACUGACAUUUAAAAAAACUAGAUGAUUGAAACCGAAACUUUUUGCACGACCAGACACAAUAUGAGGUAUUGCAGAAACAAGUGUUGUUUGUGUGUGUGUGUGUGUGUGUUUGUGUGUAACUUGAGAAUGCUGACCCUUUCUUA